rnacentral:lncRNA from 1 species
AUGCAUAAGCUGAGCCUGUGAGGCUAUGAUGCAUAAGCUGAGCCUGUCGACUCUAUGAUGCAUAAGCUGAGCUUGUGUUCUUAAUAUGUCUGAACUGAAACUGUUAAGGCUAUGAUGCAUAAGCUGAGCCUGUUACAUAUGUGUUUCUUGUGCUUAAAACACUUGUACAUCAUGCUUUAAAGGUUGUUUAAGUUUAGUGGAAAAUUACUCUUGUUGUGUACUCCGGAUUUUGUAUUCUUAAUCUGUCUGAACUGAAAGUGUUUGAGGCUGUGAUGCGAAAGCUGAGCUUGUGUUCUUAAUCUGUCUGAACUAAAAGUGUUGAGUCUAUGAUGCAUAAGCUGAGCUUGUGUUCUUAAUCUGUCUGAAGUAAAAGUGUUUUGAGGCUGUGAUGCAAAAACUGAGCCUGUGUAAUCUAUCUGAACUGAAAGUGUUUGAGGCUGUGAUGCAAAAGCUGAGCCUGUGCAAGGUUCGCUCGGUCCAACAACUCAAGCAAAUGUUUUCUUUGCAUUUUAGGGGGAACAUGUGUGCUUCUCUC